GGGUCGAUGAUGACACUCUUGUACGCAUUCCUUGGAAACUCUGAACAAAAUGGGUGAGAACACACUACCGUGUCCUUAUCGAAACUGAGGUUC